rnacentral:rRNA from 1 species
UACGAAGGGGGCUAGCGUUGUUCGGAAUUACUGGGCGUAAAGGGCGCGUAGGCGGCCCGAUCAGUCAGAUGUGAAAGCCCCGGGCUCAACCUGGGAACUGCAUUUGAUACUGUCGGGCUUGAGUUCCGGAGAGGAUGGUGGAAUUCCCAGUGUAGAGGUGAAAUUCGUAGAUAUUGGGAAGAACACCGGUGGCGAAGGCGGCCAUCUGGACGGACACUGACGCUGAGGCGCGAAAGCGUGGGGAGCAAACAGGG